GACGAACGCUGGCGGCGUGCUUAACACAUGCAAGUCGUACGGUAAGGCCCUUUCGUGGGUCCACUAUUGAGAACGGGUGAGUAACACGUGAGUAACCGGCCCACAACUUUUGGAUAACGCUCGGCAACUGGUGCCAAUUCCUGAUAUGUCCUCCUGCCGCUUGGCGUGGGUUGGAAAGCUGCGGUGGUCGUUGAUGUACGCGCGGCCUAUGCGCGUGUUGGGGGGGUAGUGUGCUACCAUGGCGGCGGCGGGUAGCCGGCCUGCGGGGGUGACCGGGCACGAUGGGACUGAGAGACGGACCAGACGCGUACGGGAGGCAGUGGUGGGGAAUAUUGCAGAAUGGGCGCGAGCCUGAUGCAGCAACGCCGCGUGCGGGAUGACGGGCUUGGGGUUGAAAACCGCUGUCAGCAGGGACGAAGCUUUUUGUGACGGUAACUGCAGAAGAAGCAACGGCUAACUACGUG
rnacentral:rRNA from 1 species